rnacentral:rRNA from 1 species
ACGGCUCAGUAACACGUGGAUAACCUGCCCUUGGGUCCGGCAUAACUCCGGGAAACUGGAGAUAAUUCCGGAUAACGCACAUAUGCUGGAAUGCUUUAUGCGUAAAAUGGAUUCGUCUGCCCAAGGAUGGGUCUGCGGCCUAUCAGGUAGUAGUGGGUGUAAUGUACCUACUAGCCAACAACGGGUACGGGUUGUGAGAGCAAGAGCCCGGAGAUGGAUUCUGAGACAUGAAUCCAGGCCCUACGGGGCGCAGCAGGCGCGAAAACUUUACAAUGCGGGAAACCGUGAUAAGGGGACACCGAGUGCCAGCAUCAUAUGCUGGCUGUCCAGGUGUGUAAAAUACACCUGUUAGCAAGGGCCGGGCAAGACCGGUGCCAGCCGCCGCGGUAACACCGGCGGCCCGAGUGGUGAUCGUGAUUAUUGGGUCUAAAGGGUCCGUAGCCGGUUUGGUCAGUCCUCCGGGAAAUCUGAUAGCUCAACUAUUAGGCUUUCGGGGGAUACUGCCAGGCUUGGAACCGGGAGAGGUAAGAGGUACUACAGGGGUAGGAGUGAAAUCUUGUAAUCCCUGUGGGACCACCUGUGGCGAAGGCGUCUUACCAGAACGGGUUCGACGGUGAGGGACGAAAGCUGGGGGCACGAACCGGAUUAGAUACCCGGGUAGUCCCAGCCGUAAACGAUGCUCGCUAGGUGUCAGGCAUGGCGCGACCGUGUCUGGUGCCGCAGGGAAGCCGUGAAGCGAGCCACCUGGGAAGUACGGCCGCAAGGCUGAAACUUAAAGGAAUUGGCGGGGGAGCAC